rnacentral:rRNA from 1 species
AUUGAACGCUGGCGGAAUGCUUUACACAUGCAAGUCGAACGGCAGCACGGACUUCGGUCUGGUGGCGAGUGGCGAACGGGUGAGCAAUGUAUCGGAACGUGCCCAGUCGUGGGGGAUAACGUAGCGAAAGUUACGCUAAUACCGCAUACGAUCUACGGAUGAAAGCGGGGGACCGUAAGGCCUCGCGCGAUUGGAGCGGCCGAUGUCAGAUUAGGUAGUUGGUGAGGUAAAGGCUCACCAAGCCGACGAUCUGUAGCUGGUCUGAGAGGACGACCAGCCACACUGGGACUGAGACACGGCCCAGACUCCUACGGGAGGCAGCAGUGGGGAAUUUUGGACAAUGGGCGAAAGCCUGAUCCAGCCAUUCCGCGUGCAGGAUGAAGGCCCUCGGGUUGUAAACUGCUUUUGUACAGAACGAAAAGGUUUCUACUAAUACUAGGGGCUCAUGACGGUACUGUAAGAAUAAGCACCGGCUAACUACGUGCCAGCAGCCGCGGUAA